GCUGGGUUGUGAGGGAUUUUGAGGAACCCAGUCCAGAGCAAUGAGGUUCUCAGAGAAAUAAAUGCAUAAAUUAAAAUCUUUUCUUAUCUCCUUGAGCAUGCGGAAGGUAAAUGGAAGAUGAAGGACAAAGCUAUUCCCGUGUGUUAUAAAAAAAACUGUAUGUAGCAGAAGUAUGAACUCAAAGCUUUUCUGGAGUUUAGAUAAUACUUUAUAUGUGCGUUAUCUUGAAUCUCAGGAAUUGGUGGUGAGAUUGUCAGGAAAUCUUAUGCAAGGCCAGAGGCUAAGGUCUAAAGGUCCUGGGGGGUGAGAAACAGGAGCCUUACGUUUCUUGUCAUUAAUCUGUCAUUCUCUUAACCUCUGUAAAGUAGAAGGAGGAUAAUACUACCAAGUUAUCUUGUUCUGAAUGUGGAAAACAAGUAUGUAGUGGUUACCUAUGGUCAAGCAAAUUUUCUGCCUUCAGUAGUGGAAAAAUCCCAAUUCAUUUCUUCUGACUCUUUUCACCUGACUGUUCCUGAUGGUUUCAUCUACCAAUAUGCCUAACACUAAGCAGGCUUUGUAGUAGUUAUGACCUGUAGUCAUACUUCAUUAAAACGGAAAACUAUGUGUAUUUAAGUUAUUUGUACUGUUGCUUUAUAGAAUCUAAGGCUGACUAAAUGAGUUAGAUGAUAAACCUGCUCUCCAUAGGUUAGAUCAAUCCCCAUUAACAGGAACAAUUAGUGCCUACACAUAGAAACUUGAGUAAGUCACCAGGUAAGUGCCUUCAGACUGGUAGUAAUUGAUUGCCAACAGCAGCGGAUUUGGGAUGCUUAUUAUGCAGGUCAGCUGUGUAUCUCCCUGUAGGCAGAGCUGCCUGCACACAUCAUUUGGAAGUAGUUUAUAAGCCACCAGUGCUACGUAAGCCACACUUGAGGAGGCUGUGCUUUAGUGAAUGUAUUUUGUCUGUACUACAAACACAGCUGUCAGCAUUUGGGGGCUGUAAGUAAAAACAACUGGUGUAUGUGUAGCAUGCAGUUCUUAAUUUGAAAGGGAAACUUUUUUUUUCUUCUCUGAUGUAAUGACUGGUGAAGAAUUAUAUGGUUGUUAAAGUAAUUUCUGAAAGCUAGAAGUCUAUAUCCUGUACAUAUUACCUACUCUGCCACACCAGUCUGCACAACGUGAGAAAAUUCAAGUUCAGAGGUAUUCCUCAUCAGACCUAGAAUUUCCAAUUAGUUUCCUGUUUCAGUAUUCCCACGAGCCAACUAAGACCUCAGUCUGGUCCUGCUGCUUUGACAUGCUAAUAUGCUUAAAGGACUGACACUGCAGAAGUUGGAGGCCUUAAGUAAGUAACAGAUGGGGGAGGUUCCAGCCAUCUGUGAAUGAGCUUUAUUAUAGAUGCAUCAUAGAAACAAGGGCUAGAAGAGGCUUCAAGAAAUCCUGUAGUCCAAACCACUACGUUCAGUGAGGCUCGUUCAGAUAACUGGAGCGUUAUAAUUGUCAGCACCCGACACGGGCAUGCUGUGUGCUACAGGAAGCUGCUUUCAGCUGCUGCUGUGGCACUGAUGGAAGCUGCUGGGCCCCCAGGCUGACCCGGCACCUCCCUACUGAAAUGAAGCUGAAACCUCGUCUUCACGUCUUCAUUCACAGCUCCCUUGGGGGAGAGGGAAAGAAAAUCUGCACUGGUUUUAACAGCUGGCACUGAAUAGAGGAGAGGGUUAUAAAUAAAUGUAAAUGAAGAAUGAGGGCAUGCGACUAGAGCCAGGAAGGUCACGUUUUGGUGUGCCAACAGAUGAGCAAUGCUGAGUGGCAUUUGAGAAAAUGUCACUCUGAAUGUGUAGACAUGAUGAUGAUGUCAAAAGCAGCUCAUUUGAAUUGGGAUUCGGGAGGAUCCUCUAUUUAAAUCCUGUCUGAGCUACUGUCAGGCUGCAUGACCUUCUGGAGCUCCAUGGGUCAAAUGGGUCUUUCCUGCAACUAAAUCGACUACAAUGGAAUUAUUCUGGGAGUGAACUUGAUUUCUCAGACAUCAGUCAACACAGCUGGUUCACUGGGUAGCAGAAAGAAAAAAAACAUAGAUGUCACUGGAAAACAUGCAUCUGAACGGAGCCUUUUAGUGCUCACAAAACUAGAACAGAACCGCACAACUGUUUCCUAAAAUGCAUAAAUAAUUGUUGAUGGUGGUUUAUUGGCAAUAAACUCUGUGAAGGUAACUUAAGGCUUUUUUUCCAAGGUAAUUAGUAGUGUCAUUUUCUUUUUCAAAAGAAAUGUGAUUAUUAUGUAUGUUGUUUAUAACUUUAAAGAUGAUUGAUGUGUCUUUAAAUAUUCUGGCAUAGAUUUUUUUUUUCUUUAAAAAGACUUAUAAUUGACUCAGGAAUACAGCACAGGGCUGCAGAAAGGUAAGCUUCUUCCAUUGAAAAUGCUUUUGGAGUCAGAUUAAAAAAUAAUGGUGGUAAUUAAUGAAAGAAUUUUUACUAAAAGUAGUUAAACAACAUAAGCAGAGGAUAAAACUAUCUGUAAAAUGGAAACAGGGAUUGCUUCUAAAUUGGAAGCUUUCUGCUUCUUCAGAUGGAAGCUUUUAGAAACCACAAAUUUAUGGAUUUGGGGGUAGAAAUAUCAAGUGAUUUGCCUCUUUGUGGCAAAUGGAGUGAGGGACUGGUGUUCUCUAACUGAUGUUUAACUCCACUAUUUACGUUUAAUCAUAAAAGUAGUGGAAAUUCCAAGUGCUAUUUCUCCUUGUUUCACCAGGACCUCUACAAAGUUAGGAAUGCACUUCUUCAGAUUUGAAAUAAUGAAGUUGGCUUGUGAUCAUGUUUUCAAGGCUAGCCGAAAGGAAACUAAAUGCUGAUGUCUGAGCACCUGUGUCACUAGGAGAACUUCGGGGAGUUUAGAGAGUGUAAAAUUGCCCUGGACA